rnacentral:rRNA from 1 species
AUUGAACGCUGGCGGCAGGCCUAACACAUGCAAGUCGAGCGAGCGGCGGACGGGUGAGUAAUGUAUGGGGACUGCCCGAUAGAGGGGGAUAACUACUGGAAACGGUGGCUACUACCGCCGACUAUCGCAUAGCCCAUAUGGGAUUAUCUAGUAGGUGGGGUAAAGGCUCACAAAGGCGACGAUCUCUAGCUGGUCUGAGAGGCUGAUGAGCCACACUGGGACUGAGACACGGCCCAGACUCCUACGGAGGCAGCAGUGGGGAAUAUUGCACAAGGGGCGCAAGCCUGAUGCAGCAAUGCCGCGUGUAUGAAGAAGGCCUUAGGGUUGUAAAGUACUUUCAGCGGGGAGGCGUUACCCGCAGAAUAAGCACCGGCUAACUCCGUGCCAGCAGCCGCGGUAAUUC